rnacentral:lncRNA from 1 species
GGCUCGAUUGCAAAGGGGGCUCCCAAGGGAGAGGGGGCAUCGCAGCAGGGCAAGGCGCUGGGCUCCUCUCCCCAGAGAGGGACGCAGCGCUGUGUGGGGAGGCCGAGCUGCGGCCCUGGGGGGACAGCAGAGAGCUCCCGAGGCCGGGCUCGGAGCUGGGCUCCGAGCAGGGCUCCCUGGACAUUCCGGGCGGGAAGGAGAGAAGCUGCGCUAAGUGGCGAGCAGGUGCCUGGUUCCCAAGCAUUUAUCAGGGCCCAAGCAUUCACACAAUCACUUCCGGGGCCAAGCGUUCACACAAUCACUUCCGGGCCCAAGCGUUCAUAUAUCACCUCUCGGGCCAAGGUGGGAAUUUGGCAGAGCUGCGCCUGACUCUGCCAUGGUGAACGAGGGGGACAUUGUCUAAGCCACAGGGGAAGCAUGUGUCCUUCCUCGCUGGACAUCAUUUUCCAGAGCACAAAAGGGUGUGGGGCUCUCUUAACCUUGGGGUAAAAAUCCCACGUUGUGAAAACAUGAACACAGGUGCUAGGAAUACCUGGGCUUCUGGCCAGCCUCGGGCUUUUAAAUCCAACGUGGACUCACCCCAUCGGAGGAGGGAAGGACAGAAGCCAGGGAGCCUGGGUCCCCGUGGACGGCCGCGCAGCUGUCCCUGCUGCCAGGAUCGCUCUGCCCGGAGCCCAGGGUGGGCGCUGUCUGCUGAAGGCCGCGGUGAGAGAGUGAUCUCAGCUCAGAGGCUCAAGGGAGCAGCUGCACAGCUGCAGCUUACCGGUGGCAGCAGGGCCGGGGAACCCUGGAAAUGGGAGCCAUUUCAAGACCAGGGAACCGGGAGGAAACGGGACAAAGAUCUCGGGUUCUACUCAGUCACCUCCACCGCCUUCUCGAGCCAUGGAAAGAAAAGGUCCAGGAAUCAGCAGAGGGAAGCUAGGGAGAGACAUAAAACCAAGGAAAUUUUGAGAUACUACCAACAACUGGCCAAUGGCACAGGAACGGACAAUAAAACAAUGCUGAAGUCUCUGGGCCUGGCCUCCCUGCGUGUCUAGGAGCAGUACUAGAACUUGAAGGUCUUCAUACCAAAACUCAAGAACUCAGCAAUGAGUCAUGAUUCCUCCUGCCAUAGUACUGGCCUUAGUCUAAAGGCUACCAAAUGAGCUUCCACUAUAUGGCUUUUCAUAAGUUACUGCCUCAAUAAAAUGAUUUAUUUUUUUAAAAAAUUUCUAUUAUCUUAUGACUGGGGAAACUUCCAGUUUAAAAAAAAAAUGCUUAAACUUUAGGAUCUUUUCAUCUGUUUCCCAUAUAUCCCCUUAUAGAGACUUUAUCCCUGUUAUGCCCCAAUACAAAAAUUAAAAGUCUUAACCUGUUGAAUUCUCUGUGGUACCAACUCUGGCCUGUCUAGGUCUCCAAUUAUCAUUUGCACCUGAUCCCUGGAACCCUGUUGGUUUUGUAGGGUGCCCCACCAUUUACAUUACACGCUGCCAACCUCCUUCAUCCUAUUUGCUUGCCUCGUUCCAUUACCCAUUUGGUAUCUGUCACAGAAACUUUAUUUUUUCAUUUAAGUUUUGGAACUUGGCAAUUUAUUAUUGAAUACAUUCAUGGAGUAUGAAAUGAUAUAACUUGUGAAUACAAUAUGAAAUAAUGAAAUCCAGCCAAUCAAUAUAUCUAUCAUCUCAAAUAAUUGUCAUCAUCAUUAUUAUUUGUGUGUAUUUUUGGAUCCUUUUGCAUUUAGGCAAGUGCUCUGCUACUGAACUAUGGCCUCAGCCUAAUAUUUAUCAUCUUUGUAGUGAAAACAUCUGAAAUUUACUUUCUUAGCAAUUUUUAAAUGUACAGUAUGGAAGGGGAAAGGAAAGAAGGGAAAGGAAAAAUUAUGAGAAAAGAAAAAAAUGGAAAUGAUGUCUAUGUAAAUAGGGAAGGGUGGAGGGGAUGAAGGGCGCACAAGUAAUGGGGAAAAAAUAAGAAUCAAGAUACAUCAUGCACAGGGACAGGCACCCAAUGAUAAAUGUAAAUGAAUUGUAUACCUAAAAUGUACCAAUAAAAGAAUUUAAGAAUAAAAAAAGUACAGUAUACUAUUAUAAGCUAUCACACUCAUGGCAUGCAAUAGAUACAAAAAACCCUUAUAUCUCAUUUCUAUCCUUUAACCAUCCUCCAUUGCCCCAACCUCCUGGGCUCUGGGAGCCACUAUUCUAUCUCUGUUGCUAUGAGUUUGACUGUUUUAGCUUCUUCCUAUAAGGGAGAUCAUGCAGUAUGAGUCUUUCUGUGCAUGGGUUAUUUCACUUAGCAAACGUUCUCUAAUUUCAUCCAUGUUGUCACAAAUGCCAGAAUUCCUUUCUUUUUUAAAGCUUGUUACAGUACCUCUAAAAUGCCAUGACCUAGUGACAAGUCUUGUCUUCUCCCGGCAUCUUGUCUUUUUCAACAGUACACCUUUGCCUCAAUAUUUUCUCAUCUUGUUGACCAAGAUGUAUAAGCAAUUUUAUCAGAUGUUUGCUGAAGUCUCGUAUUUGACGAAAGUGACUUUCCCUGACAUGUAAUCUGCUGAUCCUAUCCAAAAUGAAAUGUUUAUC